rnacentral:rRNA from 1 species
GACGUAGGGUGCGAGCGUUGUCCGGAUUUAUUGGGCGUAAAGAGCUCGUAGGCGGCUUGUUGCGUCGACCUGUGAAAACCCGCGGGCUUAACCGCGGGCUUGCAGUUGAUACGGGCAGGCUAGAGUUCGGUAGGGGAGACUGGAAUUCCCUGGUGUAGCGGUGAAAUGCGCAGAUAUCAGGAGGAACACCGGUGGCGAAGGCGGGUCUCUGGGCAACAACUGACGCUGAGACGCGAAAGUGCGGGGAGCGAACGGG